UACGUAGGGGGCAAGCGUUGUCCGGAAUCAUUGGGCGUAAAGCGCGCGUAGGCGGCCAGAUUAGUCCGGUGUGAAAGUCAGAGGCUCAACCCUGGAAUGCCGGUGGAAACUGUCGAGCUAGAGUCCGGAAGAGGCGAGUGGAAUUCCUGGUGUAGCGGUGAAAUGCGCAGAUAUCAGGAGGAACACCAAUGGCGAAGGCAGCUCGCUGGGACGGUACUGACGCUGAGACGCGAAAGCGUGGGGAGCAAACAGG
rnacentral:rRNA from 1 species